CACACGCACACAUACACACACAUCAGGAAAUAUGUCAGGUAGAGUAUUUACAAUUUGUAAACGAAUAAUUCUUCAUCAGCUCCAGAUUCAAAGUCCUGAGAGAGGUGAUCAUUGGACAGAUCGGACUCAGAUGCCUGCCCUGGGCAUGUGGGGAGAAGAGAGGUUCAGGCCCCCGAUUUCUGGAUUGGCAGAUGAGAAAACUGAAGGUCAAGGAAGAUGAAGGAACAUCCCCUCAGUCCCUCAGUCAGUCCAGGAUGUGGGAUUCAAACCUAAGGUACCGAAGACGGCAGAUUUGGGCUCCUGCGAAUAAACGGCUUCCCCGAUUUUGCAGAAAGGUUCCCUCACGAAGCUGCAAGUGCUGAGAUAAUGGAGCCGCAAAUUAAAGUCUCGUUUAAAAAGUGACAACUGUAUGUGGGGAAGAAACCCCAAACCGACUCUCUAGCUCCAAACCACCUGCUUCCAUAGAAAGGGAUGUAGGGUGGUCGACCAGACUUCUCUUAAACUGAAAAGUUAAGAAAUGUCCACGGUAAGAAAAUGCUAAAAGUUCAAAAUGUGUGGAGAGCCUUCCUGGUUCAGUCGACUGAUCCUCCUGCCUUGAAGUAACUACAUUGUCAGUUUUUGCGUUUUCCUCUAGGAAUAAUCUGUGUGUGAGCAAAGUUAGGCCAGAUAUUCACUUAUCUCUUCAUCAUUUUUAAUUUUUAAUUGUGGUAAGAUACACAUAAGAUAAAAUUUACCAUCUUAAUCAUUUUUAUGUACACAGACUAGUAGUGCGAAGUGUAUUUUCACUGUUGAGCGCCCAAUCUCCAGAAUUUUUCUGUCUUGCAAAACGGGAACUCUGUCCCCAUUAAACAAUAAUGUCCCGUUCCCCCUCCCCCAGCCCCUGGCACCCACCCUCCUAAUUUCUGUUUCUGUGAGUUUGAUGACUCCAGAGACCUCAUGUAAGUGGAGUCACACAGCAUCUGUCUUGUGGCUGGCUUAUGUCACUGAGCAUCAUGUCCUCAAGGCUCCUCCACGUUGUGGCAGGUGUGAGAAUGUCCUUCCUUUUUAAGGCUGAAUGACGUUCCAUUAUUUGGAUGGACCACCUCGUGUCCAUCCAUCCUCCAUCGAUGGACACUUGGGUGCCGUCACCUUUUGGCUGUUGUGAACAGGGCUGCUGCGAACACGGGUGUGCAAAUAUCUCUGUGAGCCCUUGCUUUUAGUUCUUCACCCAUAUAUUCCUAGAAAUAGAAUUGCUUGAUCAUAUGUGAAUUCUAUUUUUAAUCUUUAAAGGACUCAUUAUUAUUAUUAUUAUUUGCGGUACGCAGGCCUCUCACCGUUGUGGCCUCUCCCGUUGCGGAGCACAGGCUCCGGACGCGCAGGCUCA